rnacentral:lncRNA from 1 species
UAUUCCAUUCACCGUGUAGUCGGGGGCCGUCUCGUAGGCACUGACCUCGUGGCGGCGAUCACCGAUGGUGAUGGCUUCUAAUUGUCUAUACUUAGCGGCAUGAGUAGCGUGGAGUGUACUCACGACAAUGAUGUUUUGGCGGUUGUUGGAACACACCGUGUCCUCCCCUGCUUCUUGCGCCGGCAUGUUGGCCGCCCGGUAAAUGGCCGAUGCGAGGCGCACGGUUCCGGUGGUGGCAACGUCGAGGCCUCCUCUUGGUCGUAUCACGAUCUUGAAAUCACUUCGUGGGAGUAGUGGCAUUUUGCUGUUCCUGAGGACUUGCUGCUUGACGUUACGCUGUUGUUGACGCGAACGCUGUCGGUUGCCGUUCGCUCCCUCGCCGGUGUGGAAGUGGGCUCCGUUCUGGGUGUUGCUCUGCGCGGUCUCGCGGUUAGAUUGGGUCUUGUAUCUAAUGGUGCACCAACCGUUGCCCUCAAGAAACUCUUCGGGGGAGAUGUCCUCCCCGUUAACUUGGACUUGCAUCAUUGUUCCGGCGAAGCGAU